GAUGAACGCUGGCGGCGUGCCUAAUACAUGCAAGUCGAGCGAACGGACGAGAAGCUUGCUUCUCUGAUGUUAGCGGCGGACGGGUGAGUAACACGUGGAUAACCUACCUAUAAGACUGGGAUAACUUCGGGAAACCGGAGCUAAUACCGGAUAAUAUUUUGAACCGCAUGAUUCAAAAGUGAAAGACGGUCUUGCUGUCACUUAUAGAUGGAUCCGCGCUGCAUUAGCUAGUUGGUAAGGUAACGGCUUACCAAGGCAACGAUGCAUAGCCGACCUGAGAGGGUGAUCGGCCACACUGGAACUGAGACACGGUCCAGACUCCUACGGGAGGCAGCAGUAGGGAAUCUUCCGCAAUGGGCGAAAGCCUGACGGAGCAACGCCGCGUGAGUGAUGAAGGUCUUCGGAUCGUAAAACUCUGUUAUUAGGGAAGAACAUAUGUGUAAGUAACUGUGCACAUCUUGACGGUACCUAAGCAGAAAGCCACGGCUAACUACGU
rnacentral:rRNA from 1 species